CAUAGUCACGUGCGAAACCACAUGAUUACAGUCAAAAAAGCGGAAGCGCGCGAAUGAUUAGUUUAUUAAUUUUAAGGCGAAUUCAUUAUUAUUUAAACACGGAGCAUAUUUUUAUUCAGUUUGAUGUUUUCAGAUAACGUGGAGAUCUUCAACAGAUCACUGGAACUGUCCAUAGUCCCUGGCUGCUUCAAAUGCUCCACCAUCAUCCCUGGCCCAAAGAAACCCAAGAUAACAGGACAUAAUGACUGCAGACCCUUGCUGGAUCCACUGCUCUUCUCCCUCUACACUAGGGAUGCACUAUAAAUCACAUGUGAUUUUCAUGCACAUCUCGUCAGUAAAGCCGGUGUUGUUGAUUAGUAGUAAAUCUCCAUCAUGUGCUUUCAGAUGGAGCAGCAUUUACUACACAGAGCCGUAGUUCACUGACAAGCUAUACAAUAUCACAUUCAUAAUCGCAGACAAUUUGUCUGAACAUCAACAGAACCGGCUCUACUGAUGAGAUGCGCAUAACAAUCACAUGCGAGUUAUCGUGCUGCCCUACUCUACACCAAUGACUGCACCUCUACAGACCUGAGGUCUUCGGACUGUCGAGAGGAUUACUGGUGCUUCCCUACCCACCUUUCAAGAACGAUCUUCAACAGAUCACUGGAACUGUCCAUAGUCCCUGGCUGCUUCAAAUGCUCCACCAUCAUCCCUGGCCCAAAGAAACCCAAGAUAACAGGACAUAAUGACUGCAGACCCUUGCUGGAUCCACUGCUCUUCUCCCUCUACACUAGGGAUGCACUAUAAAUCACAUGUGAUUUUCAUGCACAUCUCGUCAGUAAAGCCGGUGUUGUUGAUUAGUAGUAAAUCUCCAUCAUGUGCUUUCAGAUGGAGCAGCAUUUACUACACAGAGCCGUAGUUCACUGACAAGCUAUACAAUAUCACAUUCAUAAUCGCAGACAAUUUGUCUGAACAUCAACAGAACCGGCUCUACUGAUGAGAUGCGCAUAACAAUCACAUGCGAGUUAUCGUGCUGCCCUACUCUACACCAAUGACUGCACCUCUACAGACCUGAGGUCUUCGGACUGUCGAGAGGAUUACUGGUGCUUCCCUACCCACCUUUCAAGAACGGUACAAAUCCAGAGUGAGGAAAAGUGCUUAGGAAAUCACUCUGGAUCCUUUUUGAACUUUUGACAUCCGGUCGGCGAUACAGUGCAUGGAAUACGAGAGAAACAAGAAGUUUCUUUUCCCAGAAAAUCUGCCUAAGAAAAUCUGCCUAAUGAACAGUUAAAAGUCCCCCCCCCCCCAUCGUGCAAUAAAAAUAUGUGCAAUAACCUUAUAUUUUAUUUGUUACCACCCCAUAUCCUAGUACAUCCCUACAUCUCAUUCUAUUCCAUUCCUAUUAUAUCU